rnacentral:rRNA from 1 species
AUGGGCAUCUUCCCUAUGAUUUUCUCUCUAUUGGUACUCAGGUCACUAGGAAAGCCAAUAGCUCUGGUAUCUGGAGGUGUAACAAGCCAUCGGAGCCCCGAAGGGAACUGGGCGCAACCAUCCCGUGCCGGUGCCACGCUGCAUGGCUGCCUGAAGAGCUGCGGCAAGCUGAGCUUCACGUAUCCCUUUGGCAUCGGAUCCAGGUGCUCGGGCGGGCCUGACUUCAACCUCAUUUGCAACGACACCGCUCAUCCACCAGGCUCUUCUUGCGCGACGGCAUCACCGAGGUGAUCAAAUUUGGCAAUCCUACUUUAUUAAAUUCAAUCUGGGCCUCCGUCUCCCAUACCAUCCCCAUACAACCUGGUGUCAGUGUCUACAACUUGUCUUUGAAACCGCCUGGGAGAUCCUUCCAUCUUCAUUCCAUUGCUCUAAAGAUAACUGGCUGUGACCUGGAGGUGUACUCCAUCGAAGAGAACUCCGUUAAGUCAAUCUGUGCAACUGUGUGCCCAGAUCCAGAAAUCACGGAGAUAGUAGCUACGCACAACUGUAAUGGCUUUGGAUGUUGUCGUGUACACAUGGAAAGCUAUGCCAACACUUACCAGUUGAAAUUUGUCCACAUCACAAAAAACACCAGCACGGGCUCGAACAAGACCUCUCCACUGUGGGAUAGAAUCAGCAUAACUAGUGAAGGGCCGAGUGGUUUUAAGCUAUCGUGGCAGAUAGUUGACCAAUCCAACUGUGUUGCUGCCAUGCAAAACAUGAAAAACUGUGCCUGUAUCGGCGAGUAUGCCAAGUGCAUUGACAGUACAACCAAUUCCUGUGACAUCGACGAUGCGGAGUGCAUUGACAGAAGCUAUGGCUACAGCUGUAUUUGCAGCACUGGUUAUUCAGGCAACCCCUACAUUCCACAUGGCUGCUUGAUCGAUGAAGGGUAUAAUCCAAUUCUGAGUAGAGAUGAUUGCACCCGUUGGUGUGGUUAUACUGAGGUGCCAUUCCCAUUCAGCUUAGAAGAGGGUUGCUUUGCAAUGAAACAGUUCCACCUCAACUGCACAGAUAUGACAUCAUCAGCUGGAUUGGUCAUGUUGGAGGAGAAACAGGUCAUCGAUAUAAAUAUCGAGGAAGGGACCGUUAACCUCAUGAAUCCUGACAUAAAAGGGGAACAUAUUGCAUCUCAACAUGUUCUUUUUCCUAUUCCUUAUGGGUCAUUCUCCUCUGUGCAAUGGGUUGCUGGUUAUCUAAGUUGUGCGCAGGCCCGGCAGAAUAUGUCUGGAUAUGCUUGCGUGAGUAUCAACAGCAAGUGUGUGGAAGUAGGUGUUGAAGGGGUUGGUGUUGUUGAUAGGGGUUAUCGCUGCAAAUGCUCAGAUGGCCUUGUAGGAAAUCCAUACAUCCAAUCUGGUUGUGAAGGUAUUACAGAAAUUAAUAGGAAGAAACAGCAGAAUCUACUGUUAGGUAUAAUUGUUGGGCUGUCCUGUGGUUUCGGUGUCCUACUUAUGAGCUUCAGUGUAGUGCUUCUCACUCGUAGAUGGAAAAUAAAUGUUCAAAAGCAACUACGGAAUAACUAUUUCCGAAAGAACCAAGGUCUUCUCCUAGAAACACUGAUAUCAUCUGAUGAAAGUGCAAACGAGAAUACAAAGAUUUUCUCAUUAGAAGAGCUGGAGAAGGCAACAAAUAACUUUGAUCCUACACGUAUCAUCGGACGUGGGGGUCAUGGCAUGGUUUACAAAGGCAUAUUAUCCGAUCAGCGUGUCGUUGCAAUAAAAAAGUCUAAGGUCAUUGAGGAGUCUGAGAUCAGUCAAUUCAUCAACGAGGUUGCAGUCCUCUCUCAAAUAAAUCACAGAAAUAUUGCGAAGCUCUUUGGAUGUUGUCUCGAAACUGAGGUUCCACUGCUGGUGUAUGAUUAUGUAUCCAGUGGCUCACUGUCUGAAGUCCUUCAUGCAGAUUCAAGUGAUGGUUUUUCUUUGUCUUGGGGUGAUUACUUAAGGAUUGCCCUACAAACAGCAGGAGCUCUGUCUUAUCUCCACUCUUCAGCUUCAAUAUCAAUCUUCCAUCGUGAUGUGAAGUCCUCAAAUAUACUUUUGGAUGGGAACUACACAGCUAAAGUGUCAGAUUUCGGUGCAUCCAGAUUGGUUCCGAUUGAUCAAACACACAUUGUCACGAAUGUGCAAGGUACAUUUGGGUACUUAGAUCCAGAGUAUUUCCAUACUAGGCAGCUGAACGGGAAGAGUGAUGUGUACAGUUUUGGUGUGGUACUAGUGGAGUUGCUUCUCAAAAUGAAGCCUGUUUUCACAAGUGAAUCAGGCACAAUCAAGAGCUUGUCGAACUAUUUCCUCCAGGAGUUCAAUGAGGGAAGAAUCACAGAUAUUGCUAAUUCUCAGGUGCUUGAGGAAGCACCUGAGAUCAAUGAUGUUGCCUCUCUUGCAGAGCGGUGCUUGAGGCUACACGGCGAAGAAAGACCAACCAUGAAACAGGUUGAGACAGAACUGCAGACAUUACGGACAAAACGGAUGAACUCAUCUCAGCCUGAUUCAAGAAAUGGAGAACAGACGCAACCAAGGUCGUUAACUCAAAGGAGUAGAUCUGCUCGGCAAUUGUCCGCACAGCCAGGAGGUAGCCAACGACGCUACAGCUUGGAGGCAGAGUUCUUGUCAUCUGCUAGCCUACCACGCUAG